AACGUAGGAGACGAACGUUAUCCGGAGUUACUGGGCGUAAAGUGUGCGCAGGCGGCACCGCAAGUCGAGUGUGAAAGCCCCGGGCUUAACUUGGGAAUUGCGCUCGAAACUAUGGUGCUGGAGUGUGGCAGAGGAAGGUGGAAUUCCAGGUGUAGCGGUGAAAUGCGUAGAGAUCUGGAGGAACACCGAUGGCGAAGGCAGCCUUCUGGGCCAACACUGACGCUCAUGCACGAAAGCGUGGGGAGCAAACAGG
rnacentral:rRNA from 1 species